GGCCUGCCCUGCCCUUGGGGGAUAAUAGAGCCUGGGGGAGCCUGCCCAGGUGGAUCCUCAAGAAGCAGAGCUUUGGGGUGUCUGCACCAUGGCCUGGACUACUCCCCUGCUCACCCUCCUCACUCUCUGCACAGGCUCUGUGGCCUCCUAUGUGCUGACACAGUCAUCCUCAGUGUCAGUGGCCUUGGGACAGACAGCCAGGAUCACCUGCUCAGGAGACAACCUCGGGGGUAAAUAUGUUAGUUGGUACCAGCAGAAGCCAGGCCAGGCCCCUGUGCAACUCAUCUAUGAUAAUAACAAAAGGCUCUCAGGGAUCUCUGACCAGUUCUCUGGCUCCAACUCGGGGAACACAGCCACCCUCACUGUCAGCGGGGCCCAGGCCAAGGAUGAGGCUGAUUAUUACUGUGCCAGCUCUGAUGGCAGUGGCAGCAGCUGGCAUUAA